GUCUCUGUACCUCAGUUGGAUAGAGGGUCCGCCUCCUAAGCGGAACGCCGGCGGUUCGAGCCCGCCCAGGGACGCCA
rnacentral:tRNA from 1 species